GACAGAGGGUGCAAACGUUGUUCGGAAUUACUGGGCGUAAAGCGCGUGUAGGCGGUCGUGCAAGUCGGGUGUGAAAGCCCUCGGCUCAACCGGGGAAGUGCACUCGAAACUGCAUGACUAGAGUCUCGGAGAGGAUAGUGGAAUUCUCGGUGUAGAGGUGAAAUGCGUAGAUAUCGGGAGGAACACCAGUGGCGAAGGCGGCUUCCUGGCCUGUUCUUGACGCUGAGGCGCGAAAGCUAGGGGAGCAAACGGG
rnacentral:rRNA from 1 species